CCUACGGGCGGCAGCAGUGAGGAAUAUUGGUCAAUGGACGAGAGUCUGAACCAGCCAAGUAGCGUGAAGGAUGACUGCCCUAUGGGUUGUAAACUUCUUUUAUAUGGGAAUAAAAUGUUCCACGUGUGGGAUUUUGUAUGUACCAUAUGAAUAAGGAUCGGCUAACUCCGUGCCAGCAGCCGCGGUAAUACGGAGGAUCCGAGCGUUAUCCGGAUUUAUUGGGUUUAAAGGGAGCGUAGGUGGAUUGUUAAGUCAGUUGUGAAAGUUUGGGGCUCAACCGUAAAAUUGCAGUUGAAACUGGCAGUCUUGAGUACAGUAGAGGUGGGCGGAAUUCGUGGUGUAGCGGUGAAAUGCUUAGAUAUCACGAAGAACUCCGAUUGCGAAGGCAGUUCACUGGACUGCAACUGACACUGAGGCUCGAAAGUGUGGGUAUCAAACAGGAUUAGAUACCCGGGUAGUC
rnacentral:rRNA from 1 species